ensembl:lncRNA
AGGAGUGCUUCAUAGCAGGUUAGACCAUAGACUUGUCUGUGAUCAAAUUUGAGAAAAAUAAGGACAACUUAGGGAGUUUUCCAUAAUCCUUACAAAUUCUGAGAUUAGGACUUUCUUAUUUGGGGGUUUAUAUGUAACCUUUCCUCUUAAAAAUAUUAUCAAGAUAGCUGUUUACAAAUUCUCUUAUAAACAUGACAACCCUAAACUCGUUACCCUAUCAUUCAAUUUUAGGGGCAUUUCUCUGAAAUAUGUUGGUGAGAUCUAUCAACUUUUAACUUAGCUUCUAGCUUUGAUAUUUACUGUACCUUAUAUAAUGAAUCCAAAUAUUUUCUGACCUUUGGAGUCUUAUUAAAAGUGUUCAUUCACUGCCCCCUCCCCCCAAUGGCUGGACUGAGGCUUUGAUCACAUGCAGAAUUUCCAGUGCAACCAGAACCUACAUUGAUGCUUGCUAACACCCUGAUUCUGGGCUGGGAAGUGUGGGGAUCUUGCCAUCCUGGGGAGUGAGAUUUGGGGGAAUUUUAUAAACAAAAUACUCUAGCGAGAUAGAGUAGUUUGCGAAACACAUCUUUGAAAAGUUAGAGUCCGAUUUAGUCUCAGUUCAAGGUUAGCUAGUUUUUUAGGAUUGCCAAUGAUUAAAUGGGCAACCAUGAAUCAGACUAUGGCUGAUUGAAAAUGAGGAAAACCAUUCCUGUAAAGAACUAAGGAAUAGAGGACAAUCUCAGUUCUGUAAAAACGAACAUUCUUCCAUUUGAUUUCGGAAUGAGAAGCCGAUCCUGGGCAUGCAGGGGACCCUCGGCUCUGUGUCGCCCACUCUGAGAGACUCCAUCUGUAGGAAGAGGUCCAGUCACAUUACAAAGGGCUGUUUCAUGAUUUCUGAUUCUGCCCUAUCACAUCCCAGAGCCAUGCUUUUGCCAAGCUGCCAGCUGGCAGGUUGGAAUCCAAAAAAAGUAGCAUCUGUGACAGGAGGAAGAUGGAGUUUUAUUUCCGGGUAAAGUGGGAUCUAGAUAAUAUGAAAUGGAGGGAGGGUGGGUGGGUGGGAAGGGUAGGGUGGGGAAGAAUGGAGUUUUUUUGUAACAAAGUCAUAAAGUAUUUUUCCCUAAUUUUCUUGCAUUUCCUAUUUAUACAAAGUAUCUUGAUCACUGUGUUGCUCUACAGAGAUUUUCAAUGGAAUUAAUUCGGGAGACGGAACUAAUCUCUGAAAAAGAAACUGACUAGUUACAUUACUUUUUGGACACUUUUUUUCUGUAUUGUGAAUUGUGUGGAACUGUACAGAAUAAAAAUUAAGAAAUAUAAUUUGUUUCAUUUUUUCUGUAACUGGCUGCUCAAUGGAAUUGGUGUGAAUAGUAUCCUUAAGGAGGAUAAUUUAGAUUUUCAAAAUCAAGAGGCAAGCAAAGGAGGUCCCGUCGUGGCUCAGUGGUUAACGAAUCUGACUAGGAACCAUGAGGUUGCGGGUUCGAUCCCUGGCCUUGCUCAGUGGAUUCGUUUCCUCUGAGUCAUGACAGGAACUCCACAUAUUGUAUUUCUAGCCUUGUUCCCUGCACUGAGGGGCAGGAGACAGGCAAAAUGCAUUCACCUUGGUGGACUUAGUUCCUUAAAUCCACUUGGCCUGACAUAGAAGUUCUAACCUUAAGUUUGCCUCAAUCCUUUAUAUCCCAUGCUACUUAUGAACAUACCUUAAAAAACGAAAAAUAUACAAAUUUUGACAGCGAUUAAUAAGGUACAACUCUGAAAACUCAGACUGAAAGAAAACAUGCAAAAAUACACUCAAAUUUUGAAAUGAAAAUGGAAAAGAAUUUAAUCAGCUUGACCUACAGUCUAAGUCAUAGGUUAGAUAGUGGGCUUUGCUGCUUGAAGAAUCCACUGUGUUG